GCGCCCGUAGCUCAGUUGGAUAGAGCGUCUGACUACGAAUCAGAAGGUCGGGAGUUCGAAUCUCUCCGGGCGCACCA
rnacentral:tRNA from 1 species